rnacentral:rRNA from 1 species
CUUGGCUCACGCAUCGAUGAAGGACGCAGCGAAAUGCGAUACGCAUUGUGAAUUGCAGAUUUCAGUGAACCAUCAGAUUUCUGAACGCACAUGGCGCUGCUGGUAUUUUGCCCGCAGCACGUCUGUUUCAGUGUCUCUUAACAACCUCUACUAGUA